CCCACCAGCUCCACUUUCCUUCUAUAUCCGCCGCCACGCCACGCCACGCACGCCACCUCGGCGAACAAGCCUCCGGCUGCCGCAACCGCCUCUGCCCUGGCUUUAAAGGCGCGCCCUUUGGCCGGUCCGCUCCUCCUCUCUUUGCCCAGGCCAUGCCUCUCUCCUCGAUUCGUCCUCGACUCCUGCCUCUCCUCCUCCCGCGUCUGGUUUCAUCUUGCUCCUCGUCGCUCAACUCGUCCGUUUAGACUGAAAGAAUUGCUCGUCCUUGAUUCGUCUAUAUUUUGAAGCGCGUCUGAUUUGAUUGAUUUUGCUCGUCCGCGGUUCAUCCAUUUAGAUAGAAAUCGCAUCUGGUUUCAUUUUGCUCGUCCUCGCCGUCGCCCGUUUAGCAUCGCUUCCGAUUUACUCGUCCUCGCGGUCGCCAGUUUAGAGUCGCGUGUGAUUUGAUUCUGCUCGUCUUCCCCGUCGUCCGUUUAGAAUCGCUUCCGAGCUGAUUUUGCUCGUCCUCGACGUCGUCAGCGUAGAGUUGCGUGUGAUUUGAUUCUGCUCGUCCUCCUCGUCGCACGUUUAGAUCAGAAUCGCGUCUGUUUUGAUUUUCUUGUCCUCGCCGUCGUAAAUUUAGAUAGAAUCCGCGUCUUGAUUUGAUUCUGCUCGAUCUCGUCCUAGUCCGUCUGGAAUCGCGUCUGAUUUGAUUCUGCUCGAUCCCCUGCGUUGCUGCUGGGUUCUUUACACUGAUGCUCUCGCGUGUUCUUCGUGCCGUCUCAUCGGUGGUAUCCGUGGAGGAAGCGAGCGGUGGGUCGGUCGGUUUGGGUUGUCUGGUUUGUGAACUAACAAGUCUGUUUGAGAAACUUCUGCAUGCGCUUCUGUUAUCUGAGAGACGCUCACCAGCUCACGUUCCUGCGUUUCGUGUUCGCGUCGGGCCCUUGUUCGCGUCUGCUUUUGAAAUUGGAAUUGCUGUUUAUCGUGCUCGUUCAGAUCGGUUCCUCUGUUCCGUUACCUGCGCUGUUCGUCAGUUACUUUCAUAUCUCAAACGCAUGCGCCCUUUGAUACUACUUGAUGGAUGUUCAGAUCUCAAAUGCUGCGUUGUUCAGAUCAGUUAUUUUGAUUGAAAUUGGGUUGUUGGCCCUAUGUCGAUUCUUAUUCUACUUGAUGGAUGUUCAGGGUGUUACUAUGUUGUUUUCAAUUGUUGUUUUCAAUUGCUUACUUGUCAUGCUUUGCUCAUGUUCCCAUAUAUGGUGAUGUGUACUCAGGGGUGCAAACCAUUUAGGCAGAAAGUUUUACAAGAGUGCAAACCAUGUGGCCUUCCUUUCUUCCUCAUGUUGCUAUUUCCAUUGAACUGCUCAUCAUACGAGUACUAGAUGAGGUGCUGCUAGUUAGUCCCCCUUAUACUUUGUUCUAGAUAAAAGAGCAUACCUCCAGAAUUUUGUCAUUACACACCUGGGCAUAUAAUUCUGCUGUGAGCAUAACUCCAGAAUUUAUUUAUCGGUGAAAGCUUGUUCAUCACAUGUUUUUUGUCAAUGCUGCUAACUUUAUAGCUUUUUGAAAUUACUUCGGUCUUGCAUGUAUUAGCUUUCUGUUUGUGCCCCUAUCUAAGUCUGUUUCUUGUGUGCAAGCGCUCCAUUCUGUGUGUGUCACUGCGUGUGGCUUGAUGGUGAAUAUGUGUGGCUUGACUCUCUGUGUGUGUGUGGCUUGACUCUGUGUGGCUUGAUGGUGAAUUUGUGUGUGGCUUGACUGUGUGUGUGACUCUGUGAAUAUUGCAUUUGCUUGAUGGUGUGCCUUGUAUGCUUUGUUGAAUGAUUGGUUAUAUAACUUGUGUUUUAUAUUGUUGUGGCAUGAUUGAUUGCUGUUUGUCGAAUGCGAACUCGUAUCUUGACGAAUAAUCAUGUAUGCUAACUUGGUAUUGGUAGUUCCUGAUCACCUAUUACUUGUUUAGUGUAGACUGACUAUUCUUUUUUCUGAACUUUUUUGUGAUUAUGUCUUCACAUUGCACUGCUCGAUCCAUAUCGACAUCCCACGCUGUCUGAUGAGGAUAAAGAUGUUAUGAGAAAAAUAGGGUGCCCCAACCAAGAUUGACUUCCUCUCUCUUUCUUAUACAAGGCAUGCAGAAGAUGUGUGACAAGCAUGGGAGUUCCUCUCAAAGUUAGGUGAUCUUAGCCAAACUCUGAUUUUGCCAAAAUUGAGAAUGUGGAGGGCUUGAACCAUUUUGAUGAGAUCCUGGAAGAAGCAGAUGGUAUAAUUCUGUCAAGAGGAAACUUUGGAAUUGAUCUUCCACCUGAAAAGGUUGGUUAUCUCAACCUUCGCAAUGCAUUAUCUCUUAACGUGUCGUCCUAGUAGUGAAAAAAUUAGAGAGAAUCACCCCAAUGCAUUGUUUCUUAAGGGUUGUAUCUAAAUAAUGUUGCAUUGUGGAGAAAAUUAAAGAGUAGGAAAAUAGGGAGUGCAAGAAAACGAGCUAAGAGCCGUAUCUAUAUAAACAUACAGCUCCACUCUCGUUCUUUCUUAAUUAUUACAGUGCCACAUCAGCAUUUUGACUAUGCCAUCUUUCUAAGAGAAGCAUUGUGAGUGCCCUUGGCAGUUGAAGGCAUUUUGCUUGAUUAACAUGUAUUUUCCCCAUUUGCAUGAAGCUUAGUGGUGAUUUUAUGUGCUUUACUUAGAUUUGCUCUUUUUUUAAACAAAAAUCAAGGGUCUGUA